AUUGAACGCUGGCGGCAUGGUUAAAGCAUGCAAGUCGAACGCGAAUGAGACUUCGGUCUUUAGUAGAGUGGCGAAAGGGCGAGUAAUGCGUUUCUAACGUGCCCCAAGGACAGGGAUAGCCCGGGGAAACCCGGAUUAAUACCUGAUGAUCCCGGUUGGUCGUCGGACCGGCCGGGCAAAUGCCGAGACGCCUUGGGAUCGGGAAACGUCCUAUCAGGUUGUUGGUAAGGUAACGGCUUACCAAGCCUAAGACGGGUAGCGGGUGUGAGAGCACGGCCCGCCGCAUCGGGACUGAGACACUGCCCGGACUCCUACGGGAGGCUGCAGCAACGAAUAUUCCGCAAUGGGCGCAAGCCUGACGGAGCAAUGCCGCGUGAAGGAUGAAGCAUUUCGGUGUGUAAACUUCUGUCAGGGUCCAGAAACACAAUGAUCGGACCCAAAGGAAGGGCCGGCUAACUUCGUGCCAGCAGCCGCGGUAAUACGAAGGGCCCGAGCGUUAAUCGGAAUCACUGGGCUUAAAGGGUGCGUAGGCGGACUCGCAAGUACUUUGUGAAAUCCCAGAGCUCAACUCUGGAAUGGCUUGGUAGACUGCGGGUCUUGAGCUCGACAGAGGCCAUCGGAACUCUAGGUGGAGCGGUGAAAUGCGUAGAUAUCUAGAGGAACGCCGAAGGUGAAGACAGGUGGCUGGGUCGCCGCUGACGCUGAGGCACGAAAGCGUGGGUAGCGAACGGGAUUAGAUACCCCGGUAGUCCACGCCCCUAAACGAUGUGCACUAGAUCGAGGAGGUUUUGACGCCAUCUCGGUCGAAGCUAAAGCAUUAAGUGCACCGCCUGGGGAGUACGGUCGCAAGGCUAAAACUCAAAGGAAUUGACGGGGGCUCACACAAGCGGUGGAGCAUGUGGCUUAAUUCGAAGCAACGCGAAGAACCUUAUCCAAGGCUUGACAUGUACGGAUUAGAUCCUGGAAACAGGGUUGACGCUCUUGUAGUGGAACGUACACAGGUGCUGCAUGGCUGUCGUCAGCUCGUGCUGUGAAGUGUCGGGUUAAGUCCCUUAACGAGCGAAACCCCCGCCGUUAGUUGCUACCAGGUCAUGCUGAGGACUCUAACGGGACUGCCGGUGUCAAACCGGAGGAAGGUGGGGACGACGUCAAGUCAUCAUGGCCUUUAUGCCUUGGGCUGCACACGUGCUACAAUGGCGCGGACAGAGCGAAGCGAUACCGUAAGGUGGAGCAAAUCGCAUAAACCGCGCCCCAGUUCGGAUUGUGGUCUGCAACUCGACCACAUGAAGGUGGAAUCGCUAGUAAUCGCGUAUCAGCUACGACGCGGUGAAUGUGUUCCUGAGCCUUGUACACACCGCC
rnacentral:rRNA from 1 species